CACGUAGGGGGCGAGCGUUGUCCGGAUUUAUUGGGCGUAAAGCGCACGUAGGCGGCUUCUUAAGUCGGUGGUGAAAUCCUGGAGCUCAACUCCAGAACUGCCUUCGAUACUGGGAAGCUCGAGUCCGGGAGAGGUGAGUGGAACUGCGAGUGUAGAGGUGAAAUUCGUAGAUAUUCGCAAGAACACCAGUGGCGAAGGCGGCUCACUGGCCCGGUACUGACGCUGAGGUGCGAAAGCGUGGGGAGCAAACAGG
rnacentral:rRNA from 1 species